AACGUACGAUGGCGGCACGCCUAACACAUGCAAGUCGAACGAAGUAGCAAUACUUAGUGGCAGACGGGUGAGUAACAUGUAGGUAUCUGCCCUUUGGCCUGGAAUAACACGAGGAAACUUGUGCUAAUACCGGAUAAGUCUUUACGGAGAAAGCUUUAUGCACCAUUGGAUGAGCGUGCACUUGAUUAGUUUGUUGGUGGGGUAAUGGCCUACCAAGACUGUGAUCAAUAGCUGAUUUGAGAGGAUGAUCAGCCACAUUGGGACUGAGACACGGCCCAAACUCCUACGGGAGGCAGCAGUGGGGAAUCUUGCACAAUGGAGGAAACUCUGAUGCAGCGAUGCCGCGUGAGUGAAGAAGGCCCUUGGGUUGUAAAGCUCUUUCGUCGGGGAAGAAAAUGACUGUACCCGAAUAAGAAGGUCCGGCUAACUUCGUGCCAGCAGCCGCGGUAAUACGAAGGGACCUAGCGUAGUUCGGAAUUACUGGGCUUAAAGAGUUCGUAGGUGGUUGAAAAAGUUAGUGGUGAAAUCCCAGAGCUUAACUCUGGAACUGCCAUUAAAACUUUUCAGCUAGAGUACGAUAGAGGAAAGCAGAAUUUCUAGUGUAGCGGUGAAAUUCGUAGAUAUUAGAAAGAACACCAAUAGCGAAGGCAGCUUUCUGGAUCAUUACUGA
rnacentral:rRNA from 1 species